CCAAGAUACUGAUGGAACUGGGGCACCUCUCCUACGAGGAGAGGCUGAGAGAGCUGGAAGUGCUCAGUUUAGAGAAGAGGACACUCAGGGGCCCAAAUCCUCAUAGUCCCUGAGCACCUCACAGUGGUUAAUGCUCUGGUUCUCAACAAUUAUGCUCUAUCCCAUGAGAUGGGAAAAUGUAAGGACCUUCAUUCGUAACUGAUGGGGACCUGAAGCUGGUGCAAUCUAACAUCCAGGUGCUUUCCUGCUGUACUGAAAUCCCCCACACCUGUCUGUAUGUUCACAUGAAGUGUCUGGAAAGGAGAAGUAGUACCUCUAGCAGAGAGCAGCCCAAGCACAGAGCACUGACUGGGAACCCACCCAGGGUCAUUCAGUGAAGUGCUGAAAGUAUGAUACAUCCCCCAUAUCACUGCUCCCCAGUGCUGAAUUGCCUCAUGCACUGUGGCAGAUGCGUACCUCCUACCACUUGAGAUGCUCAUCUCCGAACUUGCUUACAGUUAUGGCACACUAUUUUUCUCUCUAAAGCACAGCAAAACUGCCUCUUUUAACACUGAAUCUCCUGGAUUAUGCCACUGUUUCUAUGCAACAUCUUAGCACUUAUUCAGAAUGUGACAUCCUCA
rnacentral:lncRNA from 1 species